UACAGAGGGGGCAAGCGUUGUUCGGAAUUACUGGGCGUAAAGGGCGCGUAGGCGGCCCGCUAAGUCGAACGUGAAAUCCCCGAGCUCAACUCGGGAACUGCGUCCGAUACUGGUGGGCUUGAAUCCGGGAGAGGGAUGCGGAAUUCCAGGUGUAGCGGUGAAAUGCGUAGAUAUCUGGAGGAACACCGGUGGCGAAGGCGGCAUCCUGGACCGGCAUUGACGCUGAGGCGCGAAAGCUAGG
rnacentral:rRNA from 1 species